rnacentral:lncRNA from 1 species
CUCUCCCAUAUUCCUCCUCCUAUAGUCUCUCUUUUGUUCUCUUGAAAAGAGAAAAGAAAGAGAAAAAUUUUAGCAUCUAAGGAGCGAUCUCUUUAUAGGAACUAGCACCCUGAUGAGAUCAAGAUCUCCUAAUCAGAUCAGUCUCACGUGGAUAUCUGUAGAGAUCGGAUACAUGUACGAUUUUAAAAGAACCUUCAAGGCAUCCACAGAUCAUCGGAUCGUGGUGAAAAUCUACCCACGCAAGGUGAAGUUUAGAUCUUUCUAUCUAUUUUAUAAUUUUAGAUUUGAAUCUCAUCUCUUAUAUGAAGAUCCUGUU